UACGUAGGGUGCAAGCGUUAAUCGGAAUUACUGGGCGUAAAGCGUGCGCAGGCGGUUAUGCAAGACAGAUGUGAAAUCCCCGGGCUUAACCUGGGAACUGCAUUUGUGACUGCAUAGCUAGAGUACGGUAGAGGGGGAUGGAAUUCCGCGUGUAGCAGUGAAAUGCGUAGAUAUGCGGAGGAACACCGGUGGCGAAGGCGGCAUCCUGGACCGGUAUUGACGCUGAGGCGCGAAAGCCAGGGGAGCAAACGGG
rnacentral:rRNA from 1 species